UUUAACUCAUAUUUUAAAUGUCUUCUACAAGGCACAGAAAAAUAAGUAGUUGUGUUCAUUUUUAAGUAAAUAGUAGUAAACAGUUUCAAAUGCUGUUUGAGAUGUUAAUUAAGGCACACACUUAGACUAGUCCAUUUGAUUUGAAAAUUAGGAUUUUAUUUGUGCUUUUUGUUAAUUACUGGCUUUUAAAAGAUCAGUAGUGGGGCAGAAACUAGACUAGUGGGUUGAAGGGUGAAUAGGAAAUAAGUAAUACUUAUUCUUUCAAGGAGCUUGACUGAAAAGGAGACAGUGGUAGUUUGAAGAUAUUGCUGUUUUUAAGAUAAAAAUGAUUUCAGCACUUUAAAAAUAAAAAGUUGGAAAUGAUCAAUGAAUCAAGGAUCAUCAAGAAAGAGGCAAGAGGAAGUAAGAUUAAGCACAAAGAGUAUCAACUGAUAGGUGGCAUUUCAAGGAACUUCAGGUGUUGAAUAUCUAAAGCACCAAAUGCGUGUGGACAGCAGUGAAGAUAAAGCUGGAAAUGCGCCGGCAGACCAACACAUGAUGAGCCCUGUAGGUGGUGGACAAAGACUAUGAGCAAGCCAUUUAGGCAAACAUCUGAAGAAUUUAAAAAUCAAAGGCAAACAAAUAGGACUGUUUCAUUAAGAUCACUUGCAUUCUAACAGGUUAUGAUGAAUGGAAAGCUGAUGGUUCCUGGUUGGAAAAAAGAUAAUUUUCAAUUUGGACAUGUCACAUUUGAGAUGCAGUUGACACACCCAAGAUACAUAAUAUAUUGUCUUUCAAAAUUCAGAAAC
rnacentral:lncRNA from 1 species